rnacentral:rRNA from 1 species
CACUAUAGGGCGAUGGAUUUAGCGCGCGAUUCGCCUUGUGCCAAGCAGCCGCGGUAAUUCCAGCUCCAAUAGCGUAUAUUAAAGUUGUUGCAGUUAGAACGCUCGUAGUCGGAUUUCGGGGCAGUCCGACCGGUCUGCCGAUGGGUAUGCACUGGCCGGAGUGUCCUUUUUGCCGGAGACCGUGCCUACUCUUAACUGAGCGGGGGCGGGAGACGGCACUUUUACUUUGAAAAAAUCAGAGUGUUUCAAGCAGGCAGCUCGCUCUUGCAUGGAUUAGCAUGGGAUAAUGAAAUAGGACUUUGGUGCUAUUUUGUUGGUUUCGAACACCGAAGUAAUGAUGAGAAGGGACAGUCAGGGGCACUCGUAUUCCGCAGAGAGAGGUGAAAUUCUCAGACCCGCGGAAGACGAACCACUGCGAAAGCAUUUGCCAGGGAUGUUUUCACUGAUCAAGAACGAAAGUUAGGGGAUCGAAGAUGAUCAGAUACCGUCGUAGUCUUAACCAUAAACCAUGCCGACUAGGGAUUGGAGGAUGUUCACUGAUUGACUCCUUCAGCACCUUACGGGAAACUAAAGUCUUUGGGUUCCGGGGGGAGUAUGGUCGCAAGGCUGAAACUUAAAGGAAUUGACGGAAGGGCACCACCAGGUGUGGAGCCUGCGGCUUAAUUUGACUCAACACGGGGAAACUUACCAGGUCCAGACAUUGUGAGGAUUGACAGAUUGAGAGCUCUUUCUUGAUUCGAUGGGUGGUGGUGCAUGGCCGUUCUUAGUUGGUGGAGUGAUUUGUCUGGUUAAUUCCGUUAACGAACGAGACCUUAGCCUGCUAAAUAGUGACGCGAACUCUUUGUUGGCGGGCCACUUCUUAGAGGGACAACUUGUCUUCACACAAGUGGAAGUUUGAGGCAAUAACAGGUCUGUGAUGCCAGGCGAAAUUCGUUAACUGCAAGACU